rnacentral:rRNA from 1 species
UACGUAGGUGGCAAGCGUUGUCCGGAUUUACUGGGCGUAAAGCGCGUGUAGGCGGACCACCAAGUCGGACGUGAAAGCCCUGAGCUCAACUCAGGAACUGCAUCCGAAACUGGCGGUCUGGUGUAGUGGAGAGGAAAGCAGAAUUCCUGGUGUAGAGGUGAAAUUCGUAGAUAUCAGGAAGGAACACCGGUGGCGAAGGCGGCUUCU